rnacentral:rRNA from 1 species
UACGGAGGGGGCUAGCGUUUGUUCGGAAUUACUGGGCGUAAAGCGCACGUAGGCGGCUUUUGUAAGUUAGAGGUGAAAGCCCGGAGCUCAACUCCGGAAUUGCCUUUAAGACUGCAUCGCUCGAAUCAUGGAGAGGUGAGUGGAAUUCCGAGUGUAGAGGUGAAAUUCGUAGAUAUUCGCAAGAACACCAGUGGCGAAGGCGGCUCACUGGCCCGGUACUGACGCUGAGGUGCGAAAGCGUGGGG